UAGGAGAGCUGGGGAGAUGCAGCGGUUGU
rnacentral:piRNA from 1 species